rfam:Triticum urartu cultivar G1812 contig618553, whole genome shotgun sequence.
CUUGUACUCCCUCCGUCCAAAAAUACUUGUCAUUGAAAUGGAUGUAUCUAGAUGUAUUUUAGUUCUAGACACAUCCAUUUUGAUGACAAGUAAUUCCGGAUGGAGGGAGUACUUG